CAUGGCUCAGGGUGAACGCUAGCGGCAGGCCUAACACAUGCAAGUCGAGGGAGGAGAGUUCGGGCUUCGACCGGCGUACGGUUGCGUAACGCGUAUACAAUCUGCCUUUAACAUAGGGAUAGCCCGAAGAAAUUUGGAUUAAUACCUAAUGGUAUAUAGGAGUGGCAUCACAUUUAUAUUAAAGCUGAGGCAGUGAAAGAUGAGUAUGCGUUCUAUCAGCUAGUUGGAGAGGUAACGGCUCCCCAAGGCGACGAUAGAUAGGGGUUCUGAGAGGGAUAUCCCCCACACUGGUACUGAGAUACGGACCAGACUCCUACGG
rnacentral:rRNA from 1 species